GAUGAACGCUGGCGGCGUGCCUAAUACAUGCAAGUCGAGCGAACAGACGAGGAGCUUGCUCCUCUGACGUUAGCGGCGGACGGGUGAGUAACACGUGGAUAACCUACUUAUAUGACUGGGAUAAUUUCGGGAAACCGGAGCUAAUACCGGAUAAUAUAUUGAACCGCAUGGUUCAAUAGUGAAAGACGGUUUUGCUGUCACUUAUAGCUGGAUCCGCGCUGGAUUAGAUAGUUGGUAAGGUAACGGCUUACCAAGGCGACGAUGCGUAGCCGACCUGAGAGGAUGAUAGGCCACACUGGAACGGAGACACGGUCCAGACUCCUACGGGAGGCAGCAGUGGGGAAUAUUGGACAAUGGGCGAAAGCCUGAUCCAGCAAGCCCGCGUGGGUGAAGAAGGCCUUCGGGUUGUAAAGCCCUUUUGUUGGGAAAGAAAAGCAGUAGGUUAAUACCCCGCUGUUCUGACGGUACCCAAAAAAAAAGCACCGGCUAACUACGUG
rnacentral:rRNA from 1 species